ACGUCAUCCCCACCUUCCUCCGGUUUGUCACCGGCAGUCUCCCUAGAGUGCUCUUGCGUAGCAACUAGGGACAAGGGUUGCGCUCGUUGCGGGACUUAACCCAACAUCUCACGACACGAGCUGACGACAGCCAUGCAGCACCUGUGCGACGGUUCUCUUUCGAGCACCCCGGCCUUUCAGCCAGGCUCCGUCCAUGUCAAGGGUAGGUAAGGUUUUUCGCGUUGCAUCGAAUUAAUCCACAUCAUCCACCGCUUGUGCAGGCCCCCGUCAAUUUCUUUGAGUUUUAACCUUGCGGCCGUACUCCCCAGGCGGGCAACUUCACGCGUUAGCUACGGUACUGAGAAAUCGCUUCCCCAACACCCAGUUGCCAUCGUUUAGGGCGUGGACUACCAGGGUAUCU
rnacentral:misc_RNA from 1 species